AACGAACGCUGGCGGCAGGCCUAACACAUGCAAGUCGAACGAGACCUUCGGGUCUAGUGGCGCACGGGUGCGUAACGCGUGGGAACCUGCCCUUAGGUUCGGAAUAACUCCCCGAAAGGGGUGCUAAUACCGGAUAAUGUCUUCGGACCAAAGAUUUAUCGCCUUUGGAUGGGCCCGCGUUGGAUUAGCUAGUUGGUAGGGUAAAAGCCUACCAAGGCGACGAUCCAUAGCUGGUCUGAGAGGAUGAUCAGCCACACUGGGACUGAGACACGGCCCAGACUCCUACGGGAGGCAGCAGUGGGGAAUAUUGGACAAUGGGCGAAAGCCUGAUCCAGCAAUGCCGCGUGAGUGAUGAAGGCCUUAGGGUUGUAAAGCUCUUUUACCCGGGAUGAUAAUGACAGUACCGGGAGAAUAAGCUCCGGCUAACUCCGUG
rnacentral:rRNA from 1 species